rnacentral:lncRNA from 1 species
CAUCUAUUCAACUGGUCAGGAGAACCACCAUGAUCAGAUGAGAAGAGAAUGAGCCAUGUGUUUCCUGAAACAUCCAGUGGCCUCACCGGAGAAUCUGCAAGAGCCGGUAAACCCAGAAGCUUGGCCGUCCAUUCCUGGAAGCAGACAUUGUGUCUUCGUCCACCAAGCCCCUGGCUCUCAACACUCACUGUGGUGGCAAGAACAUGGCACCUUGACCCUACACAGUUCUUCCAUUUUUCAGAAGCAGCUCCAGACCCUUGUCCCCAGGUUUUGACCCCACCCAGACCUUUGCCUGGGACGGAAAGCUGCUUCAUUUCAGGAGACACCUGAAGUACC